rnacentral:lncRNA from 1 species
UAAAAGGGAACAAUUCCUAAAUCCCUAAUCUCCAACACCCAAACGACGCGCCUUACUGUUCUUCUUCUUCUCCCAAAGAACAUUCGAACCAAGCCCCAUAAAAAUCCAUGGCGAGUGAACAUCAAACCUCACACCACACGUUCCCCCUCACUCCUCGUCACCAUAGUGUAACGGUUUCUGACAAAUAGAAGAUUCCAUUUAGAUAUAUUUGAGCAUUGUUUAGCUCCGGAUCGAUUCGUAGGAUAAAUGGGGGUCGUGGAUGGAUGAAAAUCAAUCCUUGCCAUCCAUAUGUCCAAAAAAUCAUUCAUAGAAAACAAAUUGCAGAACAUUUCGGGAGGGUGUGUGGAGAAGGUUCGAGAAGAGCUACAUAGACUAUAUAAGGUGAGGUUUUUCAAAAAUUAGGGGUUUUUUUGGGAGAAAGGGUUGUGAAUAAAAGAGAGAGGGAUUCUUCUUCUUUUUAUUUUUCUAGUCUUGUUUUAGAUUUUUGAAAAAAAAACAGAGAAAACAGAGAUUCAAAAAAAGUGCUCGUUGUUCUUUAAGUUUGAUUUCAUCUUCGAUUGUUGUUGAGAAAAGGAAAAAAAUCAAAAAAUAUUUCGUAUCUUCUUUCUGGGAUGGAAUUCAUUUGAAAAUGGGGCUCGAUUGAAAGCUAUUGAGUUCGUUGUUGUCCGGGCUUCUGAUCUUUACUUGCUUCUAGUGCUGAUUGGGAUGAUAUCAGCUAUUGUAUUCCCCGUGUAUUCAAUCGUUCGAGCAAAGUUAAUCGGAACUGUUUGUUGAUUCAAGUUCAUUUCGCAUUCCUUGUAGCCUAUCUUUAGUAUUCUGGUUGGCCGUGUAUAUGCUACGAUGAGUUCUGAAUGCUACGAUGAGUUCUGAAAUUGUUCAUAUAUGUGCAUUGGUUGUGGUCGAUCCAAUUGAUUCGUUAAACUAUUGCAAACAAACUGAUUAUUUGUUGUUGUAGCUUGAGUCUUGAGUGAAUGCCGAAACUAUUUAUCGAAAUCUUGAGAAUUUGAAAUCAUCUUAUGGUUUAGUUCCGAAAUGUUUGAAAUCCUUCUUUAGCUUCUUCUCCUAAGUGUUUGGUCUGUUGAAAGUAUGUACUUUCUAUUGUUGCUUUAAUUUCGUUUAAGGUCGAU